rnacentral:rRNA from 1 species
CAAGCCCUGGAAACGGGGUCUAAUACCGGAUAUGACACAUUGCCGCAUGGUGGUGUGUGGAAAGCUCCGGCGGUGCAGGAUGAGCCCGCGGCCUAUCAGCUUGUUGGUGGGGUAGUGGCCUACCAAGGCGACGACGGGUAGCCGGCCUGAGAGGGCGACCGGCCACACUGGGACUGAGACACGGCCCAGACUCCUACGGGAGGCAGCAGUGGGGAAUAUUGCACAAUGGGCGAAAGCCUGAUGCAGCGACGCCGCGUGAGGGAUGACGGCCUUCGGGUUGUAAACCUCUUUCAGCAGGGAAGAAGCUUUCGGGUGACGGUACCUGCAGAAGAAGCACCGGCUAACUACGUGCCAGCAGCCGCGGUAAUACGUAGGGUGCAAGCGUUGUCCGGAAUUAUUGGGCGUAAAGAGCUCGUAGGCGGUUUGUCACGUCGGUUGUGAAAGCCCGGGGCUUAACCCCGGGUCUGCAGUCGAUACGGGCAGGCUAGAGUUCGGUAGGGGAGAUCGGAAUUCCUGGUGC